AAGAGCUAUUGGUGGUGGAAUCACUUCCUUCAGCUCGUUUGCUCAACUUCCGCUUGUCCACAAAAAUUAUUGCAAAAAGUAGGAAGAACACUAGACAUUUUGAAGAAAUUUCUAGAUCCAGUCAAACCAUGGUCUUAAUUGUAAUGCAAGCUUCUAACUUGUUUUGACAUGGUUUGUGAAAACCCAGCAUCUGAACUUCUCCAUAGGCUUUUCCAGCUAGCAGAAAUGGGAUUAUACAUCAGAGCAAACAUAAAUACCACUUAAUGGAAACAGUAGAUCACCUACACAGUUCCAAUGCAUAGGCCCAUUUGCUUUUUACAUCCUACUGGUGUUUAACCUGGAGUCUUUUGCUAUUUUACGAAGAGUAUUGAAACAUGUCUCUCUGGAGUCAAAUAUUUCAUUUCAGACACCUCCCUUUAUGAUGUCAAUCUAAGGGCUGAGCUAAGGGAAAUAAAUGUGAUUAUUGUUAUGAGGGCAUACAGUGAGAUGGCAGCAGCCUGUAAGCCAGAAACAGAAGCAUCACCAGAAACUGACCAUGCUGGUACCCUAAUCUCAGACUUCCAGAUUUCUGAAGAACUUCAAAGAAACAAAAGUCUAUUGUUUAAGCCACCUAGUCUGUCACAUUUUGUUAUGGCAA
rnacentral:lncRNA from 1 species